rnacentral:rRNA from 1 species
CCUACGGGAGGCAGCAGUGAGGAAUAUUGGUCAAUGGACGGAAGUCUGAACCAGCCAUGCCGCGUGCAGGAAGACGGCUCUAUGAGUUGUAAACUGCUUUUGUACAAGGGUAAACCUGAAUACGUGUAUUCAGCUGAAAGUACUGUACGAAUAAGGAUCGGCUAACUCCGUGCCAGCAGCCGCGGUAAUACGGAGGAUCCAAGCGUUAUCCGGAUUUAUUGGGUUUAAAGGGUGCGUAGGCGGAUUGAUAAGUUAGAGGUGAAAUGUCCGGGCUUAACUCGGGAAUUGCCUCUAAUACUGUUGGUCUAGAGAGUAGAUGCGGUAGGCGGAAUGUGUGGUGUAGCGGUGAAAUGCUUAGAGAUCAUACAGAACACCGAUUGCGAAGGCAGCUUACCAAUCUAUAUCUGACGUUGAGGCACGAAAGCGUGGGGAGCAAACAGGAUUAGAUACCCGAGUAGUC